AUUCCGCUCUGAUUUAUUUUUUUAAAGAUGGUAUUUAAGGAAGCAGUAGCUCAUCUACGAAAAAAGUGAGCCAUUCAAAGAAGCUUGCCUUUGAGGCCGCCGGGAGCCGGGGCAAGCGCGGCGCCGACGCAGGCCGUCCAGCCGGAGGCUUGGGUGGGCGCCAGGUGUGACCUUCCCCGAUGAAGUCCCCAGCCGAGGGUACUGCAGGCGACAGACGCUCCCUCGCAAGGCCGCGGGCUCGGUGGGGGCUUCGCCCCGACGCGCGCUUCUGUGUCGCCGCAGGCACCCCCACCGCGGUGACACGCACGUUGGCGCACCCCUUGGGUCCUUGGGAAGAACCAAGGAGAUCAAAGUGUGCUUUUAUGGAAAGACCCGGCAAGAUGUAGCUUUUCGUGGCUGUAUUCUUGGGAGGAAGACCACAUGGGUACAUGCUAUCACUGAAGAUUUCUCUCUCUCCAUGUUGACCUUGAUCACCUGCCUAAGGUAAGGUAGUUUGUCGGGUUUCUCCACUGUAAAGCUACUUUCCCAC